rnacentral:rRNA from 1 species
UGGGGAAUAUUGGACAAUGGGCGAAAGCCUGAUCCAGCAAUGCCGCGUGAGUGAUGAAGGCCUUAGGGUUGUAAAGCUCUUUUACCAGGGAUGAUAAUGACAGUACCUGGAGAAUAAGCUCCGGCUAACUACGUGCCAGCAGCCGCGGUAAUACGUAGGGACCAAGCGUUGUUCGGAUUUACUGGGCGUAAAGGGCGCGUAGGCGGCAAUUCAAGUCAUCUGUGAAAUCUCCGGGCUUAACUCGGAACGGUCAGAUGAUACUGCUUUGCUAGAGUGCAGAAGGGGCAAUCGGAAUUCUUGGUGUAGCGGUGAAAUGCGUAGAUAUCAAGAGGAACACCUGAGGUGAAGACGGGUUGCUGGGCUGACACUGACGCUGAGGCGCGAAAGCCAGGGGAGCAAACGGGAUUAGAUACCCAAGUAGUCCCUGAGCGGGCUGGCAAGGCGCAU